GUCAUCCUGAGAAGGUGACCAAUUAGGGGUUUUUCUUUAUGUGUUUUUAUAACAUGUAAAGAUAUGUACAGCUCAUGAACUCAUGUACUUGAGCCUUCCUGGUGGACUUCAGCCCGUCGCAGCCAGCCUGCAGCUGCUCUGGCCUGUGGGAGGAGCCUUCCAGGUGGCUCUUGAUUGCUCUUUAUGUUCACGUGUGUGCAUUUCCUGCUUGUCCGUCUCCAGCUGCCAUGUGAGUUUCCUGUUUGGGGGAGAUUUUACGUUCUUGUGUCUGUAACAAGGGCCUCAGUUGCGCCUGUGUCCCCUCCGGGGUUUAGAUGUGUCGCUCUUUAGCAGUAUUUUCACUCCUCAAGGCCUGAGAAUUGGCUGCAUUAUUUUGGCGGGGUGGGGGGCAGGGGUGGUCUUAAUUUGUUGGAGUAGGCAACUCGAUCCACAGGCAGGGUCUUAGGCCUGGGGCGUUGAGCUCUUGCCACGGCCC
rnacentral:lncRNA from 1 species